rnacentral:rRNA from 1 species
AUUGAACGCUGGCGGCAGGCUUAACACAUGCAAGUCGAGCGGAGAUGAGGUGCUUGCACCUUAUCUUAGCGGCGGACGGGUGAGUAAUGCUUAGGAAUCUGCCUAUUAGUGGGGGACAACAUUCCGAAAGGAAUGCUAAUACCGCAUACGUCCUACGGGAGAAAGCAGGGGAUCUUCGGACCUUGCGCUAAUAGAUGAGCCUAAGUCGGAUUAGCUAGUUGGUGGGGUAAAGGCCUACCAAGGCGACGAUCUGUAGCGGGUCUGAGAGGAUGAUCCGCCCAACUGGGACUAAGACAGGGCCCAGACUCCGACGGGAGGCAGCAGUGGGGAAUAUUGGACAAUGGGGGGAACCCUGAUCCAGCCAUGCCGCGUGUGUGAAGAAGGCCUUAUGGUUGUAAAGCACUUUAAGCGAGGAGGAGGCUACUGAGACUAAUACUCUUGGAUAGUGGACGUUACUCGCAGAAUAAGCACCGGCUAACUCUGUGCCAGCCGCCGCCGUAACAC